UCGAGCGGCAGCGCGGGGGCAACCCUGGCGGCGAGCGGCGGACGGGUGAGUAAUACAUCGGAACGUGUCCUUUUGUGGGGGAUAACCAGUCGAAAGACUGGCUAAUACCGCAUGAGAUCUCACGAUGAAAGCGAGGGACCGCAAGGCCUCGCGCGAUUGGAGCGGCCGAUGUCGGAUUAGCUAGUUGGCGGGGUAAAAGCCCACCAAGGCUACGAUCCGUAGCUGGUUUGAGAGAACGACCAGCCACACUGGGACUGAGACACGGCCCAGACUCCUACGGGAGGCAGCAGUGGGGAAUUUUGGACAAUGGGGGCAACCCUGAUCCAGCCAUGCCGCGUGUGUGAAGAAGGCCUUCGGGUUGUAAAGCACUUUCGGCCGGAACGAAAUCGCCUUCGUUAAUAGCGGAGGUGGAUGACGGUACCGGAAGAAGAAGCACCGGCUAACUACGUGCCAGCAGCCGCGGUAAUACGUAGGGUGCGAGCGUUAAUCGGAAUUACUGGGCGUAAAGGGUGCGCAGGCGGCGUCGCAAGUCAGGCGUGAAAUCCCCGGGCUUAACCUGGGAAUGGCACUUGAAACUACGAUGCUGGAGUAUGGCAGAGGGAGGUGGAAUUCCACGUGUAGCGGUGAAAUGCGUAGAGAUGUGGAGGAACACCGAUGGCGAAGGCAGCCUCCUGGGCCAAUACUGACGCUCAUGCACGAA
rnacentral:rRNA from 1 species